CCCGGGGGCAUUGCCUCAGUACGGCGAGUGAGCGGCAAGAGCUCAACUUUGGAAUCGCUCCGGCGAGUUGUAGUCUGGAGGUGGCCACCACGAGGUGUUCUAGCAGCAGGCAAGUCCUUUGGAACAAGGCGCCAGCGAGGGUGACAGCCCCGUACCUGCUUUUGCUAGUGCUUCCUGUGGCCCACCGACGAGUCGAGUUGUUUGGGAAUGCAGCUCUAAGUGGGUGGUAAAUUCCAUCUAAGGCUAAAUAUUGGCGAGAGACCGAUAGCGAACAAGUACAGUGAUGGAAAGAUGAAAAGCACUUUGAAAAGAGAGUGAAACAGUACGUGAAAUUGUUGAAAGGGAAGGGCUUGCACCCAGACACGGUUUCGGCCGGGCCAGCAUCAAGUAGAACGGGGUUAAAAGACUUGGGGAAUGUAGCUACUUCGGUAGUGUUAUAGCCCUUGGUGAUGACCCCUGUUUUGCUUGAGGACAGCGGUCUCUAGGAUGCUGGCGCAAUGGUUGCAAGCCACCCGUCUUGAACACGGACCAA
rnacentral:rRNA from 1 species